GAUGAACGCUGGCGGCGUGCUUAAUACAUGCAAGUCGAGCGAACGGACGAGAAGCUUGUUGCUCUGAUGUUAGCGGAGGACGUGAGAGUAACACGUGGAUCACCUACCUAUCUGUCUGGUAUAUUCUCGAGACACCGGCGCUUACCCCGGAUAAUAUCUUGAACCACAUGGUUCGAAAGUGAAAGACGGUCUUGCGGUCACUAAUCGAUGGUUACGCGCUGCUUUAGCUAGUUGUUAAGUUAACGGCUUACCAAGGCUACGAUGCCUAGCCGACGUGAGAGGGUGAUAGGCCACAGGGGAACUGAGACGCGGUCCAGGCGCCUACGAGAGGCAGCAGUAGGCAAUCUUCCGCAAUGGGCGGAAGCCUUACGGAGCAACGCGGCGUGUGUUAUGGCAGUCUUCGGAUCGUAAAGCUCGGUUAUGAGGGAAAAACAGAUGUGUAAGUAACUGUGCACAGCUUGACGGUACCUAGUCAGAAAGCCACGGCUAACUACGUG
rnacentral:rRNA from 1 species